GGAGGGGUCGCAUAGUCUGGCCGAGUGCGCACGCCUGGAAAGCGUGUAUGCGGAAACGCAUCGAGGGUUCAAAUCCCUCUCCCUCCGCCG
rnacentral:tRNA from 1 species